rnacentral:rRNA from 1 species
UACGAAGGAUGCAAGCGUUAUCCGGAUUUAUUGGGUUUAAAGGGAGCGUAGGCGGUCUUAUAAGUCAGUGGUGAAAUCUCGUUGCUUAACAACGACCGUGCCAUUGAUACUGUAGGACUUGAGUACAGUUGCCGUUGGCGGAAUGUGUCAUGUAGCGGUGAAAUGCAUAGAUAUGACACAGAACACCGAUUGCGAAGGCAGCUGACGAAACUGUAACUGACGCUGAGGCUCGAAAGUGCGGGGAUCAAACAGG